rnacentral:misc_RNA from 1 species
GUACAUAAGUGCUUGCGCACGACAAUAAUUUCAUUACAUUCGAGUGGGUGUAAAAAUCCUCUGCCGGCCGAAGCUAGCAAGAGGCCAGAGGUUCACAGGGUAUUGGAUGAAAGCCACCGACGUGCACUUGCCAGUUUCUGGCCAGCACAGAAGGCAACCAUUCGUAAUCAUUAAUGAUCCUUCCGCAGGUUCACCUACGGAAA